UACAGAGGGUGCAAGCGUUAAUCGGAAUUACUGGGCGUAAAGCGCGCGUAGGUGGUUUGUUAAGUUGGAUGUGAAAUCCCCGGGCUCAACCUGGGAACUGCAUUCAAAACUGGGGAGCUAGAGUAUGGUAGAGGGUGGUGGAAUUUCCUGUGUAGCGGUGAAAUGCGUAGAUAUAGGAAGGAACACCAGUGGCGAAGGCGACCCCCUGGACUGCUACUGACACUGAGGUGCGAAAGCGUGGGGAGCAAACAGG
rnacentral:rRNA from 1 species